ensembl:snoRNA small nucleolar RNA SNORA38
CCAUGCUACAAAGGCAUGUCUGUGGUUCCCUGCCUUUGGACAUAAAAGAAUUGGAGGCAAAGAAAUAUGGAUGUGGAGAAAUCUGGAGCCAGCUUGCUCCCUGCAGGCUCAAGACCAACCAUCCCACAUUG